rnacentral:rRNA from 1 species
ACCGGCGGCUCGAGUGGUGGCCACUAUUACUGGGCUUAAAGCGUUCGUAGCUGGCUUGUUAAGUCUCUGGGGAAAUCUUCCGGCUCAACCGGAAGGCGUCUCAGGGAUACUGGCAGGCUAGGGACCGGAAGAGGUGAGAGGUACUCCAGGGGUGGGGGUGACAUGCGGUGAUCCGUAAGGGAGGACCAGAGGCGGGGGAGUCUCACCAGGACGGCUCCGACAGUAAUGGACGAGAGAUGGGGAAACAAGCCG